GGCCAGGGGGACAGGCUAGGGUUUCAGAGCUAUGCUGGAAACAGCAUAGCAAGUUGAAAUAAGGCUAGUCCGUUAUCAACUUGAAAAAGUGGCACCGAGUCGGUGCUUUUUUU
rnacentral:sRNA from 1 species